GGGAGGUUAUUCUUUCACCAUUUUCUUAUCAAUAUUCACUUUUCAUAUUUCUUUCAAAUUGAGAGAAAGAAAGCUCAGAACAUCGAAUUUGUCUCUAGCAUCAUAUUAUUUCAGCUUUUUUAAGGAGGAAGAUAAAUGGGGUAAGGUCCUUACAUGGAUCUUGACAUGUAAGGCUGCUGCAGAUAUAAAGUUUGAAUGGAGAUGCAUAGAAGAACAAGUAUCUACUUCAACAAGCAGCUGCCCACUUGAUAAUUGUUAGUAUAUUUAAAGUUGAUAUAAGCUUUCAUAAUUGCUUUCCCUUUUGAUUAGAAUUCAUUACUAAUUCCCCUGAAGUUAAAAAGCAACAAGAUAACAAGUUUCCAACAAAAGGUUGUUUUGGUCUAAGCAAAUAAAGGAGGACUCAAUAUUGUCAGCUUGGCUCUUGAAUUUACUUCUUCAACAUAGACCAAAAAAUCGAGUUGUGUAGGAUUCAAACAACUUAAAGUGCCUCACUGGUCUACUUCUUCCUGGCUAUCAUCUAUGUCAAAGAGGGUUUUGCAAUGAACAAAAUAGCUUCUCUUUGAUUGUGUUAGGGAGUUGGUGGAAAAUAACCAUGAGAAGGAACAGAAAGGACAGAGAUUUAAAGGAUCUAAUGAAGAGAUGUUAAAUGUGAGAAUAUGAAGGGAUAGGGAAAACAAUGUGGAGAUGAAUCCAACAUUAAGCAAUUGUUGGAGCUGGAUAUAAUUAAUUCCACCUAAGAAUGGAAGAAUGGUUUUGAAUCCUAGAAGAGGGAUAUGGGGAUAAUAAUUGGAAAUGUUAUUGUAAAGGAGAUUACAAGUGAAGUUUGGGAUUGGACAAUGUUUGUUUAAAUGUCACAAUGAAUAUGGCAUUUCAUUUCUAGUUUGUUUAAAUGUCACAAUGAAUAUGGCAUUUCAUUUCUAGUUCUGUUACUAAUUCACUUUGAGAAGUUUUAGUAUGAUCAUGAAAUCAUUACAAACAUGUAUAUAGGGUUAGACAUUGUUUAAUGCUAGUUGGAUAUUUGAUGUAUAGAUGUUUAAAUGUCACCGCUGGGUUUGUUUGGUGUAUAGAUGUUUGAUGUUUUUCAUAUAUAUAAAUAUGAGAACGAUUAUUGUUUUUGGAUCA